rnacentral:lncRNA from 1 species
AAUUUCAGAUGAUAAUCAACACACAAAAAACUUCAAACAAAAAAAAGAGACUCUAAAACAAAGGAAACAAGGAGAAUUUUAAGAGUGUGGCAAGAAAAAAAAAAUAGAACUUUUCUCUUCUUUUUUUCUUUUUUUUUUUUUGUUUUUUUGUUUUUUUUUGUUUUUUUUUUUUUUGAAUCACAAUCUUUAACAAUGAGAUCCUUUUUUUAUAUUUUUUUUUUUCUUAUAACUCUUUUUUUUUGAUUUUUUUUUAUAAUGAUAAAUGGAUAAUAAUGAAGAACAAGAAUAUAGACAAUUUACCACAUUUCGGCCCCUUUUUUUUUGGAAUAUGCUCUGAUUACCACUUGAUAUGCACUAACCUUUGAGACUUAUGCAUUUCCUUCAAAAUUCCUGAAACAACUUUGUUAACUUUUGGAAUAUUAAUUCUUUUGUGACUCAGAGGAAGUAAUCUGCCUUAUAAUUGAAAGAAUGACAGAAUUUGAUACAUGCAUAUAAAAUAAACGAGAUUGAUAUGAAAUAAAAGAGAAAUAAGAAAUGGAAUUAAGUAGAAGGGGCGCCACACUCUUUCUAAUCCAAGAGAGAAUGAUAAGCCUAUGGAUGAGGAUCACCACAAGAAAAGGAUUUCUUGAUAAGAUCAAUUUUGGUCCAAUCCAGAACCUAAGAGCAAAUACUCUCACUUACACAAUGUGUAAACUUGCCAAAAUUCAUUGAUCUAAAAAGAAG